AAAAACUGUGUUCUGGACUAACACACACCUUUUUUUCUACACAUCCUCCCCUCCAAGGAUCUGAUUGCUUUGGGGUCAGUACUGACUUGCAGAUCCUCAUGUUGGCAGAGGAGACGGAGAAUGUCUUUCUUCUAGAAGAGCCAGGCAAAAAGAUAACGACCUCAACUCUGAAGAGAGACAUUUCCAGAGAGGGAGACCUUCCUCAGAAAAUGCAUCAGCACAAACAAACUGAUGAGGAUACAGGAUGGGAAUGACAGAAUUCGAACACAUGGAAAACAAUUCAAGACACUGAAAUCAUGACCUAAAGGGUAGUGUCUGUGCACAUCUGAUACCUGCUGGAAGACAAUGUUCUCCUACACUUGAAUGCCAGGGCCCUUCUUGGCUUGGUCAAAUCUGAAGCAUUUGAUGUAAACCAGAGGGCUGCUGUUGGGAUAGCACUUCCCAUAAUCCAGGCAAGGAGACCAACAUCCCUUUAUGGCAGUUUCCUAAGGAAAUAAAUUCUGUGUUGU